rnacentral:rRNA from 1 species
GAGUUUGAUCCUGGCUCAGAUUGAACGCUGGCGGCAGGCCUAACACAUGCAAGUCGAGCGGUAGAGAGAAGCUUGCUUCUCUUGAGAGCGGCGGACGGGUGAGUAAUGCCUAGGAAUCUGCCUGGUAGUGGGGGAUAACGCUCGGAAACGGACGCUAAUACCGCAUACGUCCUACGGGAGAAAGCAGGGGACCUUCGGGCCUUGCGCUAUCAGAUGAGCCUAGGUCGGAUUAGCUAGUUGGUGAGGUAAUGGCUCACCAAGGCGACGAUCCGUAACUGGUCUGAGAGGAUGAUCAGUCACACUGGAACUGAGACACGGUCCAGACUCCUACGGGAGGCAGCAGUGGGGAAUAUUGCACAAUGGGCGGAAGCCUGAUGCAGCGACGCCGCGUGAGGGAUGACGGCCUGGUGUAACGUACUUCUAGCAGGACGAAGACGAG